AUUGAACGCUGGCGGCAUGCUUUACACAUGCAAGUCGAACGGUAACAGGCCGCAAGGUGCUGACGAGUGGCGAACGGGUGAGUAAUGCAUCGGAACGUGCCCAGUCGUGGGGGAUAACGCAGCGAAAGCUGCGCUAAUACCGCAUACGAUCUAUGGAUGAAAGCGGGGGACCGUAAGGCCUCGCGCGAUUGGAGCGGCCGAUGUCAGAUUAGGUAGUUGGUGGGGUAAAGGCUAACAAAGCCAACGAUCUGUAGCUGGGCUGAGAGGACGACCAGCCACACUGGGACUGAGACACGGCCCAGACUCCUACGGGAGGCAGCAGUGGGGAAUUUUGGACAAUGGGCGCAAGCCUGAUCCAGCAAUGCCGCGUGCAGGAAGAAGGCCUUCGGGUUGUAAACUGCUUUUGUACGGAACGAAACGGCUCUCACUAAUACUGGGGGCUAAUGACGGUACCGUAAGAAUAAGCACCGGCUAACUACGUGCCAGCCGCCGCAGUAAGAC
rnacentral:rRNA from 1 species